AAUUCAUGUCCUGUGUGGAAAACUUGAAAGAUUUAAGAAGAUCAGCCCUGAGCUAACAUCUGCUGCCAAUCUGCCACCAAUCCUCCUCUUUUUGCUGAGGAAGCUUGGCCCUGAGGUCACUUGUGGCUCCAAGGUUCUCUGUUCCUGCUGCAUUUGAUCUGCGGAUCACCUUGCUGCUCAGCAUACAGUCUUUAUCUAUACCAUGUUGCUACAAAGAGGGAAAAGAGACCCUUUCCUUGACAUGCCUCACAAAACAACACUGGCACAAAGCUUUUGUGUAUGCAAUAGAACCUUACUAAGGGUCACAAGCAAUAGAGGGCUAUUAU
rnacentral:lncRNA from 1 species